CAAUAGCGUAUAUUAAAGUUGUUGCAGUUAAAAAGCUCGUAGUUGGACCUUGGACCUGGACAGGCGGUCCGCCUCACGGCGUGUACUGUCUUGCUGGGUUUUUCCUCUUGGUGAUCUGUUGUUUCGGCAGCAGGGAACCAGGACUUUUACUUUGAAAAAAUUAGAGUGUUCAAAGCAGGCUCGACGCCGGAAUAUAUUAGCAUGGAAUAAUAAAAUAGGACGUGCGGUUCUAUUUUGUUGGUUUUUGGAAUCGCCGUAAUGAUUAAUAGGGACAGUCGGGGGCAUUAGUACUCACAUGCUAGAGGUGAAAUUCUUGGAUUUUGUGAAGACUAACUUCUGCGAAAGCAUUUGCCAAGGAUGUUUUCAUUAA
rnacentral:rRNA from 1 species